rnacentral:rRNA from 1 species
GGCGAACGCUGGCGGCGUGCCUAAUACAUGCAAGUCGAACGCAUUUUCUUUCACCGUAGCUUGCUACACCGAAAGAAAAUGAGUGGCGAACGGGUGAGUAACACGUGGGUAACCUGCCCAUCAGCGGGGGAUAACACUUGGAAACAGGUGCUAAUACCGCAUAAUUCCAUUUACCGCAUGGUAAAUGGAUGAAAGGCGCUUUUGCGUCACUGAUGGAUGGACCCGCGGUGCAUUAGCUAGUUGGUGGGGUAACGGCCUACCAAGGCUGCGAUGCAUAGCCGACCUGAGAGGGUGAUCGGCCACACUGGGACUGAGACACGGCCCAGACUCCUACGGGAGGCAGCAGUAGGGAAUCUUCGGCAAUGGACGCAAGUCUGACCGAGCAACGCCGCGUGAGUGAAGAAGGUUUUCGGAUCGUAAAACUCUGUUGUUAGAGAAGAACAAGGAUGAGAGUGGAAAGUUCAUCCCUUGACGGUAUCUAACCAGAAAGCCACGGUUAACUACGUG